UGUCACACCUUUUCCUGAACUUUGGCUCAAUUGAAGAAGGAAACUUUCAGGGGAAUUCCAAUAGUAAACAACAGAACCAGCAGUUUUACAAUAAACUGCAGAGCUCCAUUUCAAAACACAAAAAUAGAGCGUCUCUGCAGUGAUGUACUGCCUUAAGGAAGGGGAUGUUAUAGAUCGGGACCGUGGCUAUCCAAAGCUAUGUGCAAAUUGAAAUUAUAAGGAAGCAGAAAAGCUAUGAAGAGGUGGAGAGAGGAAAAGAGAGAUAUACACAGAAAUGGAGCUGAAGAAAGGCAAAUGAAAAGAGAAAGAAGAGUUUGCACAGUACCUCAGUUCUUCAACUGAGCAUCCUUAUAUUCAACUUCCUUUUCCCCCAGAGGAGAUAACUGCAGUGGCUUUUUAUUACUUGAAAACAAAAGAACAA
rnacentral:lncRNA from 1 species